CCCCUUAAAAUUUUGAACCCCCAUUUUAGAAAUUACCCCCACACUCAAUCCCAGCAUUUCUUUUGUAGUAUGGAACCUUGUAGUACAAUUUCAGAGAGAUCCAUACUCUUAAACACAUGUAAUUGUCUGGAAACUAGAAACAUACUUGUUUUUGGCUCUUUUGGCCCUUAAUUCCAAAACUGAUGGCACAAUAACCCCAAAAAUGAAUCCAAACCUUCUACUUGUGGAAAUUUCAGAGCAAUUAAAAUAUUUAUACACAAGUAAUUAUCCAGAAUGCUUGUUUUGGACCCCUUUAGGGCACCUAAUUUUAAAACGGUUAAAACCUUCCCUUUGUGGAAUUGAACCCUCUUGAAAAAUUCAUAGAGAUCCAUCCACUUAAACUAAAGUAAUGGUCCGAAAAAAACCAAAUGUGUCUUCGGAAGACGACGACAACAUCAUACGAUCCCAAAAUUGUUUUUGCGGUCCGACAGACGUAUAAAAAUAGAGCACGUGAAAAGCGCAUCAUAUACGUGAAUUGAAAGAACCAUGACAUUUGUUUUUUUUUUAUAUUUUAUAUGUGUUCCCGUAUGUAAAGUAAACUUUUCUUGACAGUUGUUAAAUGAUUUGUUGUAUUCAAUUUGUUCUUUAGGAAUCUGAUAUUCUUAUUUCAAGAGCGCACCUGUGUUUAAAUUCUUUCAUCAAGGGUUAUCCCUCGCACUUGCGCUGUGCGUUGGCCGAAGCUAUAACGAGGGGUCUCGUAGUUUAGGUCAAUGCACACGGGGAAACAUUGUCGAAUUAGUAUCUAAAAGCCAAUAAUUCAAUAGUGUUACAUUUAUGAAGAUUUUUAAAAUAAUGUAAAGGAUUUUUUAAAUCACGUUCCCAGAGUAAAACUUACCCAUUCAAGUAUAUACAAGAUUUUU
rnacentral:lncRNA from 1 species